GAUAAAAUUAUUUCAUGUAAGCGCACUUUAUUGAACUCUUUUAAAAUACAAAGACUUGGGAAUUCGGACAAGUCUGUUCGAGAAGAUCUGACCCCUUAUUAUACGUUUCACAAAUGGUAUGACUUUACUUCGUUGUUUUUAGUUUUAUCAUGGUUUCAUUACAUUGGAUAUAUAUUAUGAUGGAGUAGUAUCUUCAAUUCUUGGUAUGACAUAUUUUUAGUUGACAGUGGUGAUCGCUGGCUAGUGACAUAUUUUAGUCACUAGAUGGGUUGAUUUAGAGAAGACAGACUACGAACCUUUAUUUUAGGAGUGAGUGAAGUAUAAAGUGAUUGAAAAUGUUACUACUAUAUUGUUAAUAAUUUCCAGGAUUAGCUGUUUAAAAGAGAAUUUAUUUAGCUUAACAGUUUCAGAUAUCUACUAACGUUCCAUCUUGAAGUCAUCUUCUGAAUAAACAUCUGAGAGCCAAGCCAUUUUGUGAAUCACUAUUGAAAAUAGUUGGUGGUAGACUGUUAAUAUUGGACAACUUUCUCCACCAAAUAUCAGACCAAAACUUAAUUCUGAACAGUGUAAAGGACACUUCAGCUGAAGUGAAGCAAUUGGAAGAUCAAGCAGUAUAAUGAAAGCUGCAAGAGUUGAGAUAUCAGCUGCGUCGAACAAAAUGAAGAAAGAGACAGUUGGAAGUGGAACAGAAGAUUGCUGAACGAAGGAAGAAAGUUGAAGCUGAGUUGCAAGAAGCUUUAAAAGAGAAAAAGAAAAUAAAAAUGAUGGAAAAUAUGUGUUCAUUAGUAGAGCGACUGUACAAAAUUUUUCUCUGUUAAAUCAUUUUCUUUUGUUGACAAAUUAUCAUUUGUCACUAGAAAAAACGCAAAAGGAUAAGUGGAUUGCCUCUUAUCGUGUUAGUACUUGGUAGGGCCUUUUAAUUAUAAACCUUUCAUCAUUUUGUGGUCUGCAUCAAUCUUUGGCAGCCCCCUCAUGAUUAAAAGAUGUCCAUUUACUUUAUAUAUAUUGAAAGUUACUCUUCUAUUUCAACACACACCAAAUUUGAUGGCCAAGAUCCUAAGAAAUAAGUCAAACUACGAGGAAAUCCCAUAUACCAUGUGUACUUUGUUUUACUUUUUAUUCUUUUUCAUAUGUGUUCUGCCAAAGAAGAGGCAUCUAAAUAAAGUUUUUACCUCUGUACUGAUUACCUUGAACUUCGUUUCUACAGAAGAAGAAGCAGCUAAGUUAAGGCAUUUCGUAGACGAGCCUGCUUUUACUGAUCUUCAUUGGGUAUUCACCAGGUUAUAGCAUGUUUCACUUUUGCAUAACAGACAACGAGCAUGAUUGGAGAAAGGGAUGAACAUUGUCUUGCAUCAGUAGACAAACAGAAGUAGUCUUGGCUGAUUUUUUCGGCUCAUCGGGUUAUGGCAUAGGAAGCUUUGCAAGGGUGUUACCUGAGUAUUCUUGUAAUUACACAGUAUUUUUUUCAAACGAAAACACGCUAUAACUUAAAGUGUUGGGCAAUCCCAUCUAGUACAAGAAAUAUAUUCAGCAAGCAAAAGAUUAGGUCAUGGCUUAGACGUUAUCAUGCAUGGCUAUCACCUAUCGGUUGCGCACCAAUAUUCUACACUUUCCAAGUUUUUGUUUCCCUUUAUAGAGAAGCUAGGUGUGUACAGCUCGAAAGGAUAUAUAACAAAAAAAGUGAUCUAGUGUAAUUUUGAAAGAAAAAAUAUCACUUCUUGUCUAUUACUCCU